CCCUUAGAUGCUCUGGGCCGCACGCGCGCUACACUGGUCGAUGCAACGAGUUUCUUUCCUUGGCCGACAGGCCUGGGCAAUCUUUGAACAUCGAUCGUGAUCGGGAUAGAUUCUUGUAAUUUUUGAUCUUAAACGAGGAAUUCCUAGUAAACGCAAGUCAUCAGCUUGCAUUGAUUACGUCCCUGCCCUUUGUACACACCGCCCGUCGCUCCUACCGAUUGAAUGGUCCGGUGAAAUCUUCGGAUUGCUGGAUAGGACUUCAUUGACCUAUCUGCGAGAAGUUGCUUGAACCUUAUCAUUUAGAGGAAGGAGAAGUCGUAACA
rnacentral:rRNA from 1 species